rnacentral:rRNA from 1 species
AUGGCGCUCCUCCUGCGGCGAGGUGCCGCAGUCGCCGCCCGCACCCUGCGCGCUGCCGCCGCCUCCUCAGCUUCCACCUCCGUCCACCGCCUACCGACCGCCGGAUCCCUUGCCGCCGCAAGAAACCUGCCCACCACGCAGUUUUUCCUCCUUGAGAUCCGGAGAGGCUUCGCGAAAGGGAAGAAAUCGAAGAAUGAUAGUCGAAGUGAUACCGUUGAAGCCGCUCCUGAUAUCGGGCCGACUGUCAAAUCGGCCGCGACUGCACAAAUGGACACUGCCGUCAUUGCGCUGUCGCGAGAGCUGAGUAAACUUCGGACAGGGAGAGCUUCUCCUGGCAUGCUUGACCACAUCAUGGUGGAAACUGGGGAUGUUAAAGUUGGAUUGAGUCGUAUUGCUGUUGUUUCUGUCCUAGAUUCGCAUACCCUAUCAGUGAUGCCCUAUGAUCCUAAUACAAUGAAGUCUAUUGAGAAUGCAAUCGCUUCAUCUCCAUUGGGCAUCAAUCCAACACCUGACGGCAGUAGGAUUAUUGCAGCUGUACCUCCAUUGACGAAAGAGACUAUGCAGGCAAUGUGUAAGGUUGUUACUAAAUCUGCUGAGGAUUUCAAGCAAAGUAUUAGAAGAGCACGCCAAAAGGCACUUGAUACAAUAAAGAAAUCUUCAUCUAGCAUGCCAAAGGAUGAUAUAAAGCGACUCGAGAAAGAAGUCGAAGAAUUGACCAAGAAGUUCAUCAAGUCGGCAGAUGAUAUGUGCAAGGCCAAGGAGAAGGAAAUCUCUGGAAGCUGA